GCUAAGAAUAUUCCGCAAUGGACGAAAGUCUGACGGAGCGACGCCGCGUGGAUGAAGAAGGCCGAAAGGUUGUAAAGUUCUUUUGUUGGGGAAGAAUAACCAUGGGAGGGAAUGCCCGUGGGAUGACAUGAACCGACGAAUAAGCCCCGGCUAACUACGUGCCAGCAGCCGCGGUAACACGUAGGGGGCGAGCGUUGUUCGGAAUUACUGGGCGUAAAGGGCAUGUAGGCGGUCUUGUAAGCUUGGCGUGAAAGACCACGGCUCAACCGUGGGAUUGCGUUGAGAACUGCGAGGCUUGAGUGACGGAGAGGGAGCUAGAAUUCCUGGUGUAGGGGUGGAAUCUGUAGAGAUCAGGAAGAAUACCAAUGGCGAAGGCAAGCUCCUGGCCGAUGACUGACGCUGAGGUGCGAAAGUGUGGGGAUCAAACAGGAUUAGAAACCCCGGUAGUCC
rnacentral:rRNA from 1 species